GACGGAAGGUGCAAGCGUUGCUCGGAAUCACUGGGCGUAAAGGGUGCGUAGGCGGCCGUGCAAGUCUGGCGUGAAAGCCCCCGGGCUCAGCCCGGAAAGUGCGCUCGAAACUGCGCGGCUCGAGUGCCGGAGGGGAGAGUGGAAUUCCUGGUGUAGCGGUGAAAUGCGUAGAUAUCAGGAGGAAUACCGGUGGCGAAAGCGACUCUCUGGACGGCAACUGACGCUGAGGCACGAAAGCGUGGGGAGCAAACAGG
rnacentral:rRNA from 1 species